CAUUCCAUCCCAUGGAACACCCUGUGGAACAUCACAUUCCACCCAUGGAAGACCACAUUCCACCCAUGGAACAUCACAUUCCAUCCCAUGGAACAUCACAUUCCACCCCAUGGAACAUCACAUUCCACCCCAUGGAACAUCACAUUCCAUCCCAUGGAACAAACACCACAUCCCACCCCAUGGAAGAGCACAUCCCACCCCACAUCACUGGGAUACUGGUCCCAUAAUCCCCUUCCUCUCCAGUGGAAAUCCCAAUCCUCUCCCAACUGGGCAGGGGGUUGGAAUUCUGCUGGAACCCAGCAAGGGCAGGGGAGGGACCAGCCCUGGGGACAUCCAGCUGGAAACCCACUGGGUUUGGGACAGGACGGAAUUUGUGCCACGGAAUUGCAAUGCAGGACCGAAUGGAACUGAAUGAAGGAAUUUAAACAAUA